UAUGGGAAGUGUGGGAAAGCAGCCGCGGUAAUACGUAGGGGGCAAGCGUUAUCCGGAAUUACUGGGUGUAAAGGGUGCGUAGGUGGUAUGGCAAGUCAGAAGUGAAAACCCAGGGCUUAACUCUGGGACUGCUUUUGAAACUGUCAGACUGGAGUGCAGGAGAGGUAAGCGGAAUUCCUAGUGUAGCGGUGAAAUGCGUAGAUAUUAGGAGGAACAUCAGUGGCGAAGGCGGCUUACUGGACUGAAACUGACACUGAGGCACGAAAGCGUGGGGAGCAAACAGG
rnacentral:rRNA from 1 species